AUUGAACGCUGGCGGCAUGCCUUACACAUGCAAGUCGAACGGCAGCACGGGAGCAAUCCUGGUGGCGAGUGGCGAACGGGUGAGUAAUAUAUCGGAACGUGCCCAGUCGUGGGGGAUAACGCAGCGAAAGCUGUGCUAAUACCGCAUACGAUCGAUGGAUGAAAGCGGGGGAUCGCAAGACCUCGCGCGAUUGGAGCGGCCGAUAUCAGAUUAGGUAGUUGGUGAGGUAAAGGCUCACCAAGCCGACGAUCUGUAGCUGGUCUGAGAGGACGACCAGCCACACUGGAACUGAGACACGGUCCAGACUCCUACGGGAGGCAGCAGUGGGGAAUUUUGGACAAUGGGCGCAAGCCUGAUCCAGCAAUGCCGCGUGCAGGAUGAAGGCCUUCGGGUUGUAAACUGCUUUUGUACGGAACGAAACGGUCUUCUCUAAUACAGGGGGCUAAUGACGGUACCGUAAGAAUGAGCACCGGCUAACUACGUGCCAGCCGCCGCCGUAAGAC
rnacentral:rRNA from 1 species